rnacentral:lncRNA from 1 species
AUGCUGCCUAAAACCAACACACUUCUUCCUCCGCUUCUUCUCCUUCUUCUUCUUCUUCCUCUUCUUCUUCUUCCUUUGGUGGAAGGUGCCAUCAGCCCUGCCACCAUUUGGCUAAAACGAUCCGCGCGUGACUUGAAACGGUCGCGAUCUCGUUCCUAUUGCCGCUCUUCCACUUUUUUUUCCCUCCCCUGGAAGCUCCUGGCUGUCUGUGCAGGAUAUCGCCACCGCCGCGACGACUUAAUAGAGGCAAAGGAACCUUUUUUUGGAAAGACGUGUCAACGAGGGCGAAGCAACUGAUGUGUUAAUUUGACAGGAAGUUUGAUGCCACCAUUUGUUAAGGUGCAGGAUCACCUUGUAUGCAUGAUGACAGGAAUCCAAAGAAAUGAAGCCAUGAUGACUGCAAGUGUUUGCUGGAAUGGAGCAGCCUUUUCACACUGGACACGCUUGUUCGUAAAAGCACCCCGAACUUGGAAAGGAAACGCCCCCAGUUUGCUUCCCUCGCACAUCGGAUGCGGCUAGAGUGCACUUGAAAAUGGGCCGAGGACACUUUCAUCUUUGGAAGUGCAAGGAGAAUGCUGACGUUGUCUUUCAUACUACUGGGUGCUGGGAAAACACACACCGCUUUUCUUGAACUGUUCUUUUUUUUGCCUUUAUCCACGAAGAACAGGAGCAAUGGUAAAAUGACUGUUUCUUCACCUGAUUGGAAAAUGUUUCUUGAAUUGUACUUUCCAGGAUGGAUUUUCACUUCCUCCCCAUAGUCUCUUUUUGCCUCAGACAUCGCAUUUUGACUCGAACGACAGCGGAGAACUCACCUGCACAUACAACAAGUGUUAGUUGUAAGCAGAAACGGUGUGUACAGGUAACUCAGUUGAUAAGAGAGCCACCUUUUCAGUGUCCUGGGGAUGUUGGCUUCAAUUACCUCCAGAAGAUGAAGCCUUUGCCUCAUUCUGAAAGGCAAAUUUUUCCUGAAACAAGGUGAACUUGGGCAAUAAAUUCAAGUUUUGUGAAUAAAACA